rnacentral:rRNA from 1 species
GACGAACGCUGGCGGCGUGCUUAACACAUGCAAGUCGAACGGAAAGGCCCUGCUUUUGUGGGGUGCUCGAGUGGCGAACGGGUGAGUAACACGUGAGUAACCUGCCCUUGACUUUGGGAUAACUUCAGGAAACUGGGGCUAAUACCGGAUAGGAGCUCCUGCUGCAUGGUGGGGGUUGGAAAGUUUCGGCGGUUGGGGAUGGACUCGCGGCUUAUCAGCUUGUUGGUGGGGUAGUGGCUUACCAAGGCUUUGACGGGUAGCCGGCCUGUGAGGGUGACCGGCGACAUGGGUACUACGAUACGGACCAGACUCCUACGGGAGGCAGCAGUGGGGAAUAUGGCACAAUGGGCGGAAGCCUGAUGCAGCAACGCCGCGUGCGGGAUGACGGCCUUCGGGUUGUAAACCGCUUUCGCCUGUGACGAAGCGUGAGUGACGGUAAUGGGUAAAGAAGCACCGGCUAACUACGUG